rnacentral:rRNA from 1 species
UACAGAGGGUGCAAGCGUUGUUCGGAUUCAUUGGGUGUAAAGGGUCCGUAGGUGGUCGAGCAAGUCUGAUGUGAAAUCCCAUGGCUUAACCGUGGAACUGCAUUGGAAACUGCCCGACUUGAGUACCGCAGAGGUGAAGGGAAUUCCCGGUGUAAGGGUGAAAUCUGUAGAUAUCGGGAGGAACACCAGUGGCGAAGGCGCUUCACUGGGCGGUUACUGACGCUGAGGGACGAAAGCAAGGGGAGCAAACAGG